GGAAACCUUACAGCGAGAGGCUGGGGGGUCAGGGCUGGCCUGGGGAGGAGAUGGGUCCGCCCCCAGUGAGGUGGCCCUGCUGCGCCUCCUCUCACACUUUUCGUUCCUACAAGGCCUCUCUUUUCCCUUUCCUCUUUUUUUUUUUUUUCUAAUUCGAUGAAAUAGCAGUCUUCAGAACUGGAGAAGAGGGAAGCGUGUAAGGGUGAAAUGGAACAAACUUCCAUCCAGCUCCCAGCAAAUCCGACUGGAACGGAUGGUUUCCAGUACGAGCCAUGAGUGCAAUAAACAGCCCGGAUGUCUGAAAAUGUGACUCUGCCUAUUGGGAAAAGAAUGUCAAAAAGGGCCUUUCACAUCAGCUAUCUCAGUCCCCUGUUGUAUCAGUGCAAGAUGAGGUUCAACAAUUUGCUGAAGGUUUUACAGCUGGUUAGUGGCAGAGAUGUUUCUAGAACCCAGGGCUGACUACCCCCAGAAUCUUCUAGUAUUGAUAUGGGAACCUUUCCAUGAAGAUGGAGACUACUGGUCCAGAACCUAAGAAUUUAACAGAGAGCCUUAUACUCUAUAGCCAUUUAUGCACUUUUCUAUUCAUUUUCAGUGUUCACGGCUGGGUAACUAGAUGCCCUAACGACCUUCAGUGGUGAGCCAGGGCAUCCUCCGGGGAACCACAUUGUGCUCUGUCCUUAGAGACACCCGUUAUAGAAGGUACCAGGCUGCAGCUGGGGCCAGGUAGUUCCGUUGGGGAAAGUGUGGGACUGAAGAGGCCAAGGUCAGUGGUUGAUCCUGAUUCAGGCCAGUUAAUUUCACACAAAGAUGAAUUGCUCCAAAGCCAUUGCACUUCUAAUGCUAGCUGGUCAUUUUAUAAAGAGUUGUUGUUGGUUUCAAUAGCAAAGUACCAUCCAUUUCUAGAAAGAUUACUCAAACUACUAUUGUUCUAUUCAGUCCUAUUCAUUCAGCAAACAAUGACCUGAACCUAUUAACCAUUUUUCCUCCCAUAU